GUGGCAUUUUGCAAAACUGAAAAAUCUUGAGGGUUGUCUGUAUUUUCGAUCUGCUUCAAUUUCAUGAAUAGGCGGAGAAGAAAGAAAUUAUAAGAAGCAGAGUUGAAGAAUCGGUAGAGAUGGCGAGUGAAAACCCUGAUGUUGUUGCUCCGGCGGAGGAGAAUACUGGGGCCGAGCCCUCCAAUGGAAAAGAGCAACAAUUGGCUUCGGAGCUGUCGAAGAAUCUAGGGCUUGCGGAUGGGAAUGAAGAUGAAAAGGAGGAAGAAGACGAAGAGGAGGGAAGCAAAG